rnacentral:rRNA from 1 species
AUACGGAGGAUGCAAGCGUUAUCCGGAUUUAUUGGGUUUAAAGGGUGCGUAGGCGGAUGAUUAAGCGUGAGGUGAAAUGCCACUGCUCAACAGUGGAACUGCCUCGCGAACUGGUUGUCUUGAAUGCUCCUGCCGUGGGAGGAAUGUGUGGUGUAGCGGUGAAAUGCAUAGAGAUCACACAGAACACCGAUUGCGAAGGCGUCUCACGAAGGGGUGAUUGACGCUGAGGCACGAAAGCGUGGGGAUCAAACAGGAUUAGAUACCCUGGUAGUCCACGCAGUAAACGAUGAUAACUAACCGCUGGGUCGUAGUGAUUCAGUGGCCAAGCGAAAGCGAUAAGUUAUCCACCUGGGGAGUACGACCGCAAGGUUGAAACUCAAAGGAAUUGGCGGGG